rnacentral:misc_RNA from 1 species
CCAGACAUAGAUUGGGCACCAACAGCCAAUGAACAAUGCAAUUCAUCUGCAGCAGCAGUGACUAGUAUACUCUCAUUGCAACUAAUGAUCAGCAUUCCACAGAACAAAUUCUGCCACCAUUUGGACCGGCCAAAUCCCCCCACCCAUUUCAGGGGUUCACAUCUCUGGCAUAUACUCGAGUCAUUUGAAAUGUACCUAGUUAAUCCAAUACAUUGCACAUAUUUCACUCCUGCGCCACCAUCUUGCCAACAACACCCUUCCCCUGCAAAUGCUCCAUCUCCACCAUUGUCCCAGCAGAUGCCACUGUGGGCAAUGCAUCAUAGGAGGAUCCAUUAUGCCUCCUCCCCGUACCAGCGCUGCUGUCAACCCCAAACCACCUCGCCACCCCGAGGAGCACCCCCGCCACGAUGGCAGUCACGAUGACGCAGUGCACGGACAGGGCGAGAUCCAUGACAGCGACGGCCCUGAGCCUAGCCUCGUCGACGUCGCACCGCGUGGCGGGCGCUGCGGUGCUGCCGGUGUCGAGGAGGCGGUGGCACCCCGUGGGCACGCACGCGUCGACGUAAAGAUUGAGCCCGCUCUGCGCCGCCCAGAGCCCGCCCACGGCGCCCGCGCAGGCGAGCCCCGCCUCGGCGACGAAGUGGGCGCCGGCCGCCGUCGUGCCCCUCGGCGCGGAGGCGCAGAGCGACGAGACGAGAGAGGCCGCCGCCGCGGCGAGGAGGAGGAGGCGCGCGACGGCGAGCGCGUGCGCCUGGAGGUCCGAGUCAGGGAACGAGGCGGCGAGGAGGUCUGCCGCGCGGGCGAGCAGGAGGAGCGGCAGGGUGAGGAGGAGCGGGCGGAGGAGCGGGAGGUGGGGAGGGAGGAAGGGGAGCGGGAGGAGCGGGAGCAGUGGAGGGAGGAGGAGAAGCGGCAGUAGG